UACGGAGGAGGCAAGCGUUAUCCGGAAUUAUUGGGCGUAAAGCGUCCGCAGGUGGCGAUUCAAGUCUGCGGUCAAAGACUGGGGCUUAACCCUGGAAAGGCCGUGGAAACUGAAUAGCUAGAGUGCAGUAGGGGUAGAGGGAAUUCCCGGUGUAGUGGUGAAAUGCGUGGAUAUCGGGAGGAACACCAGUGGCGAAGGCGACUACCUGGCCUGUUCUUGACGCUGAGGCGCGAAAGCUAGGGUAGCAAACGGG
rnacentral:rRNA from 1 species